rnacentral:rRNA from 1 species
AUGGUGUUCAUUGACUUGGAGAAGGCUUAUGAUAAGAUACCGCGGAAUGUCAUGUGGUGGGCCUUCGAGAAACACAAAGUCCCAGCAAAGUACAUUACCCUCAUCAAGGACAUGUACAAUAAUGUUGUGACAAGUGUUCGAACAAGUGAUGUCGACACCGAUGACUUCCCGAUUAAGAUAGGACUGCAUCAGGGGUCAGCUUUGAGCCCUUAUCUUUUUGCAUUGGUGAUGGAUGAGGUCACAAGGGGUAUACAAGGAGAUAUCCCAUGGUGUAUGCUCUUUGCGGAUGAUGUGGUGCUAGUUGACGAUAGUCGGACGGGGGUAAAUAGGAAGUUAGAGUUAUGGAGACAAACCUUGGAAUCGAAAGGGUUUAGGCUUAGUAUAACUAAAACCGAGUACAUGAUGUGCGGUUUCAGUACUACUAGCUGUGAGGAGGAGGAGGUUAGCCUUGAUGGCCAGGUGGUACCUCGGAAGGACACCUUUCGGUAUUUGGGGUCAAUGUUGCAGGAGGAUGGGGGUAUUGAUGAAGAUGUGAACCAUCGAAUCAAAGCCGGAUGGAUGAAGUGGCGCCAAGCUUCUGGCAUUCUCUGUGACAAGAGAGUGCCACAAAAGCUAAAAGGCAAGUUCUACAGGACGGCGGUUCGACCCGCAAUGUUGUAUGGCGCGGAGUGUUGGCCGACUAAAAGGCGACAUGUUCAACAGUUAGGUGUGGCGGAGAUGCGUAUGUUGAGAUGGAUGUGUGGCCACACGAGGAAGGAUCGAGUCCGGAAUGAUGAUAUACGAGAUAGAGUUGGGGUAGCACCAAUUGAGGAGAAGCUUGUCCAACAUCGUUUGAGAUGGUUUGGGCAUAUUCAGCGCAGGCCUCCAGAAGCUCCAGUGCAUAGCGGACGGCUAAAGCGUGCGGAGAAUGUCAAGAGAGGGCGGGGUCGACCGAUUUUGACAUGGGAGGAGUCCGUUAAGAGAGACCUGAAGGAUUGGAGUAUCGACAAGGAGCUAGCUAUGGACAGGGGUGCGUGGAAGCUUGCUAUCCAUGUGCCAGAGCCAUGA